AUUGAACGCUGGCGGCAUGCUUUACACAUGCAAGUCGAACGGCAGCGCGGACUUCGGUCUGGCGGCGAGUGGCGAACGGGUGAGUAAUAUAUCGGAACGUACCCAAGAGUGGGGGAUAACGUAGCGAAAGUUACGCUAAUACCGCAUACGAUCUAAGGAUGAAAGCAGGGGAUCGCAAGACCUUGUGCUCCUGGAGCGGCCGAUAUCGGCUUAGCUAGUUGGUGAGGUAAAGGCUCACCAAGGCAACGAUCAGUAGCUGGUCUGAGCGGACGACCCGCCACACUGGAACUGAGACACGGUCCAGGCUCCUAAGGGAGGCAGCAGUGGGGAAGUUUGGACAAUGGGGGCAACCCUGAUCCAGCAAUGCCGCGUGAGUGAAGAAGGCCUACGGGUUGUAAAGCUCUUUUGUCAGGGAAGAAAAGGCUGUGGCUAAUAUCCACAGCUGCUGACGGUACCUGAAGAAUAAGCACCGGCUAACUACGUGCCAGCCGCCGCAGUAAGAC
rnacentral:rRNA from 1 species